rnacentral:lncRNA from 1 species
UAAGCAACCUGGCCCAGUGCCUGUAAAAGAAGGGGUAAGGAGGAAGGUAUCGAGCCCUUUCUUUUAGGCAUAGGAUUCUCUCAAAACUUUGGGUUGGAGCGGAAGGGAAAAUAGGAUAUAUAACGUAUCAUUUUAUCAUUGUAAUAUAAAUGUUUAUAUUUUUCUUAGUCCUUUCAAACAAUCCUUCCUCCAACUUAUCGAAAAUUAGAAGGAUUGAGACUGCAUGCAUUGAAGGAUCAAGUGACCCCCUUGAAUUCAUCUUCAACUCACCGUCCUAUAAACUAGGCAUUAAAGUCUUUUAACUUCAUCUAAUCCUUACUAAAUAGGAUUCCUCCAUAAGCUUAAUAAUAGGUGCUUUUCCCUGUCCAUUUGUACACCAUAUGUAAACAUCUCUUUAUAAACCUGACAUUCUUUCACCACCUUUGAGCAGACAAGCUUCUGUUUUUGCUCCCAGCUUCCUGGUUUUAAGAACAAAUUCAUAGCUCAUAGAAUAUCACAGAAUUCAUAGUUCUGCUAUUCUUAAUAGCAAAUUGAACCUUGUACUAGAAUUUUUCUUUUUGCAUUUAGAAUUCUUGAUUUAAUUUUUGAAAUUGAUUGCUCCUGGAAGUAUAAAGCAGAUGGCCUAUAUACAAUCAAUUAUACACAUCCAUUGCCAAUUUGAUUGAAGAAUUUGUUAUAACCAUACUGAAGGAAUAUGUAUGGUUCACUAAAGGCGUAUAUAAAGCAUGACUUUUCUAUUUUCAGACAAUAAUGGAUUUUUAAUUUCUUGAGUUCAUAUGUGUAUUAUCUUAUGGUUUUAUGUAGUUUGAUUGGCUACUCUAAGUAUAAGUUCGUAAAUGGAAGAGAUGAGAUGGGGAUUGUUGCGUCCAAUCUUUAAAAUGCAUGUAACUAAAUGAUUUCAUAUAUAGUCACGAUCUACACAAGACUCAAUAUUUUUUAACAUGUCAAUUACCUUCCAAUGUAUGCAAUAUAGAGAAAGAGUUAGACGCAAAACGUGCUACUCGAAAAGUAGAAUAUGCAGUUCGAGUGAAGAUGAAGGAAAUGAUACAAAAUAGGAUGAAGGUAGAUGAGUAACAAUUCAAUUAUACGUUGUGAGAAUUAACAGAAUAUCUAUUUCAUGAGGAUGAAGAGUUAUAUUUUUUAGAUGUGUAAUAAUAGAUAUAGACCAUUUUUGCUAUUGUUUUUAAAUUUAGAUGUAACCAUACUUAGUGAAUAAUUUUUAUUUGAGUUUUGGUG